AUGAAGGAGAAUUUAUUGCAACUACCACUCUUAUUCCAGACUUCAAAUGUUUUGAACUUCUUUCAUCCAAAAGACAAUACAAGAACAAAGGUUGGUGUCAAAAAUUCCAUCCAGAAGCUUGUUUUCACUCUUCCCAUUGGUGCUUUCUGGGGAGGGGUUGCAAUCUCUUCGCCAGUGUCAUGUCUGCCCUCUGAUUCCCCCAUUAAGCCCAAAAUUGUCAAGAAGAGGACCAAAAAGUUCAUCUGGCACCAGUCUGACAGUUACAUCAAGAUCAAGAGUAACUGAUAUAAACCAAGAGGCAUUGCCAAACAGAGUGAGAGGAUGAUUCAAGGGCCAGAUCAUAAUGCUCAAUAUUGGUUAGGUAAGCAAUAAGAAGACAAAACAUGUUACCAAGUGGAUUCAGGAAGUUUUUGGUGCACAAUGUCAAAGAGCUAGAAGUGCUCCUCACAUGCAACAAAUAUUACAGUGCUGAGAUUGCUCACAAUGUUUCCUCUAAAAAUCAGAAAGUCAUUGUUGAGAGAGCAGCACAGCUCACCAUCAAGAUCACCAAUCCAAAUGUUAGACUGAAGAGUGAAGAAAAUGAGUAAAAAGCUUUGCACAUUUUUAUUUGUGUUAAAUAAACACAAAUCAGAAGCUUGUUUUCAACUUCUCUCUGCUCACAAUCCAGAAAACUGACAUUAUAGUAAAGUUAGCUAACAUUUUCCUGGUGCUAUAAAAUUUACAAAGUAUUAUAUAUAUUUUCUCAUUUGAUCCUCAAAAACUUUUGAAGAUAUGUACUAUUAUUAUCAUCCUCAUUGUACAGAUGAGUAAAUUGAGGUACACAGAGAUUAAAUGACUUGACCAUGGUCAUACAGCUAGUAAUAGUCUGAGAUAGCCUUGGAACUCAGAUCUUCCUGUCUCCAAGCCUGGUUUCCUUUCUAUCGCAUCACCUAACUUCCUCAAAAGAUCAAAUAAUGUCAAAUAUGUAUAUAAUGUGUGUAUAAUAAAAUGUAUAUUGUGGUACAAAAUUUGAGGGAGAAGGUUAUUAUAUAUGAAUCACCACCUAAGGUCAAGAAAUACAAUCUAUAUUUUCAGUGGAAGGAUUCAAAGCUUUACAUCUUAUCUAGGUAAAUUGAAACACAGUGAGCAGGCAAAUCAGAUAUAGGAAAAAUGCCCCAGUAUUCUCUGAGUUCUCACUUUUUGGAAUAGGGCUGGAGGUACUCUCUCUGUUAUGAAUCUUGGCUCAUAACUGAAAAUUGACAGAAGGGCAAGUGAUGAUUUCAGCAAAUCUGUGGAGAGAAGCAUGUCAGUCUGGAAUGACAUUGCUCCAGAGAUGAAAAUAAUCUGAUUAUUGAGGUAGCUAGUGAGGCAGUGAGUUGCUUCUGAUCUUAUAGGACCUCUGGACCAAUAUGACCUUAUAAUGUAGAAGCAAGUGUCAGUGAUACACUAGUUAAACAAUCUUAAUGUGGUUAGCAAUAAGUUGAGUGACCCUAGAGGGGUUACUGCAGAACUUGUUUCCUGACAGAGAUAUGAUGAGGAUAAUCAAUAUUCAAAUUAACCGAUCCUGAAGUAAUUAUCAGAUAAGUAAAAUGAACAUUUGGCACUUUGUGAUAAAAAAAUGCUAUCUAAGAAUGGCAUAAAAUGAUGCUUAAGGUGCUGAAUGUUACUUUGACUUAUGAGACAGCACACUCAUCAAGAAAAUCUCAUCCUCAGAUUUGAAACAGGAAGUCAUCUCAUUUUGACUAAUCUAAGAGCUCCCUGUGAUAGCAUAUUACAUGUCAUAUAAUGCAAGCCAAUGGAUUCAUUGAUGAUCCAUAGUACAUCAACUCCCCUGACAUAACUGGCCUGGGCUUUUCAUUACUUCAUUCCUUCUGAGCCUAAUUAUCUCUCUUCAUUCCCUGGUCAUGGUAGAGAAUAAUCAAGGUGGGAUGCUAUUUUCCUGGCUAAUUUAUUCUCUGAACCUCUGCUUGUUCUUUGGGAUUAGGAAUGGGGUGGAAAAAGGAGACAGAAAUGUUAGCAAGCCCUGAUCUAGGGAGCAGAAACUAUGCUGUAUGCAUAGAUUAUAAACUUCUAGCUAUAUUGUUGCUGCUUUGUAAAUCUAACUGGGGUGAUAUUUAUGCCCCAAUUGACGAGCAUCAGUUAUGUGUUUCUGGCUGCUCCCACUCAUGACACCUCUAAGCGUGGGCAUGCCCAUGAAGUAGAGACAUUGCAACAAGAUCUAGGGUGGAAAUAAUGCAGAUGAAACCUCAGAGGGAGAGAGAGAGCUGUGAGUAUUUUAAGCACACAGUAAAGAGAAAGAAGAACUUAAAGUAGAAAAGACAAGACAAAAUUUGGGGCAAAGAAGAUAUGCCCUGUCCCUAGUGCCAAUUUUCUAUUAUUAGACUGAUAUCCUAGUCAAGAGAUAGCAAGAAAGGUUGAAGGCAUGUUCUGAGUGGAGCAUCCUAUAGGAAUGAAAGCAUGUGGAGCAAAUUUUUUUUUUCUGAAGGUUUUUCCCCUCCCACCAAGUCUACAGGCCAGCCUACUUCCCUAUAUAAUAAGAAAGAGAUUAAUGCCUUUAGAAAAAUAGUUUACAAUCAUCAAUCAUCAUACAUACAUGUAAAGAACCAAAAAUUCAGAAAUUUUCAGCAACAUUGUCAUAUAAUCAAAACAAAACAGUUCAACUUCUUUGGCAAUAAGACAAUACAAUCCUGGAAUGUGGAAAAUGCAAUUGAAUCCUACUGAUCAAAUAGUAAUGACUGGGUUAUUUGUGAGAGAAUAUAGAUAUUAAGAAAAGAUUUGGAGAAUAGGUUUGGUUUUCUCCCUAUAUUUGCCUUGAUAUCAUUUAUUUCCUUAUCUUGACAAUAUAAACUCAAUAAUAAAUGCAGUAUUUUCUCUUGCCUUAAUAUAAUAUUCAAAGCAACAUUCGGACAAAUUAAUGUUAAGAGCUAGAAUUUAAAAUUUUCCAUACUUAUCACAGUAUUUGAUUCAUAGUAAGCAUUUAAUUAGUAUAAAUGAUUAAUAUGAGAAUGUUUUACAUGAUUACACAUAUAUAAACUAUAUUAGAUUGCUUACCAUUUUAAGGAAGGGAGAAAGGAAGGAAGAUAAGAGGGACAGAAUUAGGAAUGCAACUUUUUUUUAAUGUUAGUUGUUUUAACAUAUAAUGGAGAGAUUUUUUUUUGGUCUGAGGCAAUUGAGGUUAAGUGACUUGCCCAGGGUCACACACCCAGGAAGUGUUAAGUGUCUGAGGUCAGAUUUGAACUCAGAUCCUCCUGACUUUAGGGCUGGUGCUCCAUACACUGCACCACCUAGCUGCCUCUAUGGAGAGAAAUUAAAAAAAAAAAAAAUUAAAAGACUUACUGAGUUUACUUGAAAGUUUGACUAUCAUUUACUUAGUGUGAUCAUACAUGACCAAUUGACAGAAAAAAUGAAUUAGGUAUGCUUAGCAGUGUGUAGCCAUUUAUAUUGAAUACAACAUUGCUAAUUCUUAAAUUAGAAAUAGAGAUUAUGUGUUUAGGGCUAUUUAUCUAAGACAGUGAUAAUUAGCCUUAAAGACUGAUAAUGGAAGGAAUAAUUAAUUUACAAAACUAGAAAGGGAAAAUUACAUUUUCAACAAAAGAAAUGUCUCAAGGAUUUAAACUCUUCAAUAGGAUAUAAAAAGGUGAGAAUAAAAGGCCAUUAACAUGGUGCCAUCUAGUGCUCAUUUUUCAUCAAGCAUAUAAUGACCUUCGUAUAGUAUUGUUCUCCAUGUUAAUAGAGUGCCAACAAUUUGUCAGAUACAUACUAUAGUGUUCAGUUUCUUAACUUGUGGUUUAUGACCCCUUAUGGGGUCUUGCAAUGAAUGGGGGAGUCUUGAAAUCAUGAUUUAUUAUCAGUAAAUAUUUGAUUUGUAUACCUAUUUUUAUAUACCUAUAUACCUGGAAUCACCUGAAAAUUUCUCAGGGGAAGAGAUUGCAAGUGGAAAAAAUUUAAGAAGCCCUGCUAGUAGUGAAUGAAGAAUUAGAUGUGUCAUUUUUUAGUGAACUUAAAAAAUAAAUUUGUUUAUAGGCUGUUGUUGUUCAUCCUUCAUUCUCAAAGAGGACAUAAGGGUGAUGACUUGCAUGUGGGUUGGAUUUAAGUGAGGCAGAGGUGCAUAAAUUCAUUAACUUCAUUCUCUUCUCCAACAUCAUCAAAGUUCAGGGUUAGCACAAAAAUAAAGGUGACUUGUGAUAGCCUGAAUUGCAGAAGGUGAUUUUGGCCUUUCUAAACUAAGUCUUUCUUAGGUCUCAGUUUGUCUGAGGCAACACCCAUUCAAUGACUAAAGACUAUGUAAGGAUUGAAGCAAAAGCAAAGUUUUGUCAUCCCAAAACUAUCAAUUUGGAGUGCUAGGGGAAAACUCUUAGAGUUUCUGACCAGAACAGAAAAUAAUUGCUGUUUACACUCAUUCUGAGCCAAGAACUAAACAAAGAGUUACAGAAGGUUGAUUUUGGGGGCU
ensembl:lncRNA